CCCACUCAGUGAUCAACACUGAACAAAGACCUCUCAUCAUGAAGUUGUGGUUAAACUGCAUAUUCCUUGUAAAUCUUUUAAAAGGUAUCCAGGGUGAGGUGCAGCUGGUGGAGUCUGGAGGAGGCUUGGUGAAGCCUGAUGGUUCCCUGAAACUCUCCUGUGUAGCCUCUGGAUUCACCUUCAGUGAUUAUUAUAUGCACUGGGUCCGCCAGCCUCCAGGAAAGGGACUGGAGUGGGUUGCCCUUAUUAGAACUAAAGCUAAUAGUUACACAACAGAAUACAGUGCAUCUGUGAAGGGCCGGUUCACCAUCUCCAGAGAUGAUUCCAAAAACACCCUCUACCUUCAAAUGAACAGUCUGAGAGCUGAGGACACUGCUACUUACUACUGUACCCUGGACCCAGCAAUACCACUCCUGGGA